rnacentral:lncRNA from 1 species
AACCCCACCAUCACACUUAAAACACUGCAAAUUAUAUUUAGUCAUUAGUGAAAUUAAGUUUGUUGCAUAAUGCAAUUGGAAUUGUGCAUUCAUUAAUAGAAUGGGUGCUUCAUUUCAACUACUUUAAUUUAAAAACCACAAUGCACCUCAAACUGGGGCGUCACCCUCUAGCAAGGAUGCCUUUUUGGUGGAUUAUGUGAAUAUUCCUCUUAAAUUUAAGAGAUUUAAAGGAUACGUUCAUUCCAGAGAUCUAUAAUUCAUCCAUGACACUUGAGCAAAUGCUCAAAGCAACUAAAUACAAAAAUAAAAGAAAAGGGGGAACAGACAGAAGAGGGUUUCAUCUAAAUGAACCUCGAAAAUAAAAUGUAGGUUUUUCCAAAGAAAAAAAACCCACUCUGUUAAAGUUGUACUCUUGGAAAUGUUUUAAUGAAAUAAAAAAUAAAAAAAACAUUGAUCAUGUAUAUUUGUGAAUUUGCAUGAUUAAACCACAUUACACUCCAUAUGUAUGUCUAAUAAAUAAUAACAAUCGCAGUGACAUUAUCCUGGCCUAUUGUCACUCCCAGGUGUCUUCUCACGCACACAAACUGUGGUAUAAUGUCUUUAAAAAAUAUGUAUUCAUUAUAACAGGGAAACCUGUGGAAGGAAUUGGUUUAUUUCUAGUAAUCACCAUAUAAUAAUAAUUAUAUUAAUAUGAAUAUAGUUGUGUAUGCCGAUGAAAAGAAAAAAAAAGAUAAACGGACCCCGAACUCAUCCACCCCCCUUGCGUGGUCUCCACAAAAUAUUUCCCAUUUGUUUUGAAAACAGAAGUUUGUCAAAUGAUGGUGUAUUACUAAGAAUAAGAAUUUGUGUGUGUGUGUGUGUGUGGGUGGGUGUGUGUGUGUCUGUCUUUAUUAAGGCUGUCGCGCGCGCAAAUCGAUUUCUUUUCAUAUUUAUGAGCCGCAUUUGCACCGGGCUCCCGUUUUAAAGACUUCCAAGUCAAUUACGGCCUUCGCUGGGGGUCGUUAGAUACUUUUUUAUUAUUUUUAUUUUUUUUCGCCUAAGUUGUUUAUGUGCGUGUUGCGCUUUAAUAAUACAUGUUCCCGGGCCGAUGGAUCGAUCCUCCGGUUAAACAGCGACGUCUGAUCAAACGAGGACUAAUAAUCAUGUUGAAUAACUGAAUAAUAAUGCGCACCAAUUCAUAACGCAUUCGCGCGCGUCAGCAGGUUUCCAGAGGUCAGAGUUCAAAU